rnacentral:rRNA from 1 species
GGACAUUACCGAGUUCAUGCCCUUACGGGUAGACCUCCCACCCUAUGUUAUAUUACCUUUGUUGCUUUGGCGGGCCGCCCGGCUUCGGCCAGGCUACCGGCUCCAGCUGGUAAGCGCUCGCCAGAGGACCCUCAACUCUGAAUAUCAGUGUCGUCCGAGUACUAUAAAAUAGUUAAAACUUUCAACAACGGAUCUCUUGGUUCUGGCAUCGAUGAAGAACGCAGCGAAAUGCGAUAAGUAAUGUGAAUUGCAGAAUUCAGUGAAUCAUCGAAUCUUUGAACGCACAUUGCGCCCCUUGGUAUUCCGAGGGGCAUGCCUGUUCGAGCGUCAUUACAACCCUCAAGCACUGCUUGGUAUUGGGCUCCGCUGGCUCCAGCGGGCCUUAAAAUCAGUGGCGGCGCCGUUUGGGCUCUGAGCGUAGUAAAUAUCCUCGCUAUAGAGACCAGGCGGUUCUUGUCAUCAACCCCCAACUUUCUAAGUUUGACCUCGGAUCAGGUAGGGAUACCCGCUGAACUUAA